rnacentral:rRNA from 1 species
GAUGAACGCUGGCGGCGUGCUUAACACAUGCAAGUCGAACGGAAAGGCCCAAGCUUGCUUGGGUACUCGAGUGGCGAACGGGUGAGUAACACGUGGGUGAUCUGCCCUGCACUUCGGGAUAAGCCUGGGAAACUGGGUCUAAUACCGGAUAGGACCACAUUUUGGAUGGUGUGGUGGAAAGUUUUUCGGUGUGGGAUGAGCUCGCGGCCUAUCAGCUUGUUGGUGGGGUAAUGGCCUACCAAGGCGUCGACGGGUAGCCGGCCUGAGAGGGUGUACGGCCACAUUGGGACUGAGAUACGGCCCAGACUCCUACGGGGGGCAGCAGGGGGGAAUAUUGCACAAUGGGCGCAAGCCUGAUGCAGCGACGCCGCGGGGGGGAUGACGGCCUUCGGGUUGUAAACUCCUUUCGCUAGGGACGAAGCGUUAUGUGACGGUACCUGGAGAAGAAGCACCGGCUAACUACGUG